ensembl:lncRNA
CAGGAACAGUAGAGGAGGAGGGGUCAGGAACAGUGGAGGAGAAGGAGGAGGGGUCAGGAACAAUAGAGGAUGAGGGGUCAGGAACAGUAGAGGAGGAGGGGUCAGGAACAGUAGAGGAGGAGUGGUCAGGAACAGUAGAGGAAGAGGGGUCAGGAACAGUGGAGGAGCAGGAGGAAGGGUCAGGACCAGUAGAGGAGGAGGGGUCAGGAACAGUGGAGGAGGAGGAGGGGUCAGGAACAGUAGAGGAGGAGGGGUCAUUAACAGUGGAGGAGGAGGAGGGGUCAGGAACAGUGGAGGAGGAUGAGGGGUCAGGAACAGUAGAGGAGGAGGGGUCAGGAACAGUGGAGGAGCAGGAGGAAGGGUCAGGACCAGUAGAGGAGGAGGGGUCAGGAACAGUGGAGGAGGAGGAGGGGUCAGGAACAGUAGAGGAGGAGGGGUCAGGAACAGUAGAGGAGCAGGAGGAGGGGUCAGGAACAGUAGAGGAGGAGGAAGGGUCAGGAACAGUAGAGGAGCAGGAGGAGGGGUCAGGAACAGUAGAGGAGGAGGAAGGGUCAGGAACAGUAGAGGAGGAGGGGUCAGGAACAGUGGAGGAGGAGGAGGGGUCAGGAACAGUGGAGGAGGAGGAGGGGUCAGGAACAGUAGAGGAGGAGGAGGGGUCAGGAACAGUAGAGGAGGAGGAGGGGUCAGGAACAGUGGAGGAGGAGGAGGGGUCAGGAACAGUAGAGGAGGAGGAGUGGUCAGGAACAGUGGAGGUGGAGGAGGGGUCAGGAACAGUGGGGAGGAGGACGGGUCAGGAACAGUGGAGGAUUAGGAGGGGUCAGGAACAGUAGAGGAGGAGGAGAGUUCAGGAACAGUGGAGGAGGAGGAGGGUUCAGGAACAGUGGAGGAUUAGGAGGGGUCAGGAACAGUGGAGGAUUAGGAGGGGUCAGGAACAGUAGAGGAGGAGGAGAGUUCAGGAACAGUGAGGAGGAGGAGGGGUCAGGAACAGUGGAGGAUUAGGAGGGGUCAGGAACAGUAGAGGAGGAGGAGAGUUCAGGAACAGUGGAGGAGGAGGAGGGGUCAGGAACAGUGGAGGAUUAGGAGGGGUCAGGAACAGUAGAGGAGGAGGAGAAUUCAGGAACAGUGGAGGAGGAGGAGGGGUCAGGAACAGUGGAGGAUUAGGAGGGGUCAGGAACAGUAGAGGAGGAGGAGAGUUCAGGAACAGUGGAGGAGGAGGAGGGGUCAGGAACAGUGGAGGA